UCAGUGGAGCUGCUACACCACCCCUGGUUUGGAGCUACCCGAUUCAUGAAUUGUUGUUUGUGCAAAUAAACUCUUUAAAAUUUUAUUGUGCCUCAGUUUCCCUUUUGACACUCCC